AUUGAACGCUGGCGGCAGGCCUAACACAUGCAAGUCGAACGAGUGGCGGACGGGUGAGUAAUGUCUGGGAAACUGCCCGAUGGAGGGGGAUAACUACUGGAAACGGUAGCUAAUACCGCAUACUAUCGGAUGUGCCCAGAUGGGAUUAGCUAGUAGGUGGGGUAACGGCGCACCUAGGCGACGAUCCCUAGCUGGGCUGGGAGGAUGACCAGGCACCCUGGGACUAAGAGACGGCCCAAAGGCCUACGGGGGGCAGCGGGGGGGAAUAUUGCACAAUGGGGGAAACCCUGAUGCAGAAACGCCGCGUGCGUGAUGACGGCCUUCGGGGUGUAAACCGCUUUCAGCCAUGACGCGGUAGUGGCAGAAGAAGCACCGGCUAACUACGUGCCAGCAGCCGCGGUAAUAC
rnacentral:rRNA from 1 species